ACGAACGCUGGCGGCGUGCUUAACACAUGCAAGUCGAACGGAAAGGCCCUGCUUUUGUGGGGUGCUCGAGUGGCGAACGGGGGAGUAACACGUGAGUAACCUGCCCUUGACUUUGGGAUAACUUCAGGAAACAGGGGCUAAUACCGGAUAGGAGCUCCUGCUGCAUGGUGGGGGUUGGAAAGUUUCGGCGGUUGGGGAUGGACUCGCGGCUUAUCAGCUUGUUGGUGGGGUAGUGGCUUACCAAGGCUUUGACGGGUAGCCGGCCUGAGAGGGUGACCGGCCACAUUGGGACUGAGAUACGGCCCAGACUCCUACGGGAGGCAGCAGUGGGGAAUAUUGCACAAUGGGCGGAAGCCUGAUGCAGCAACGCCGCGUGCGGGAUGACGGCCUUCGGGUUGUAAACCGCUUUCGCCUGUGACGAAGCGUGAGUGACGGUAAUGGGUAAAGAAGCACCGGCUAACUACGUG
rnacentral:rRNA from 1 species